CGGUGGGGAACCUCGCCCCAUAGUCUGGGAUACCACUUGGAAACAGGUGCUAAUACCGGAUAAGAAAGCAGAUCGCAUGAUCAGCUUUUAAAAGGCGGCGUAAGCUGUCGCUAUGGGAUGGCCCCGCGGUGCAUUAGCUAGUUGGUAAGGUAAAGGCUUACCAAGGCGAUGAUGCAUAGCCGAGUUGAGAGACUGAUCGGCCACAUUGGGACUGAGACACGGCCCAAACUCCUACGGGAGGCAGCAGCC
rnacentral:rRNA from 1 species